rnacentral:rRNA from 1 species
ACGCGAAGAACCUUACCUGGUCUUGACAUCCACAGAACUUUCCAGAGAUGGAUUGGUGCCUUCGGGAACUGUGAGACAGGUGCUGCAUGGCUGUCGUCAGCUCGUGUUGUGAAAUGUUGGGUUAAGUCCUGCAACGAGCGCAACCCUUAUCCUUUGUUGCCAGCGGUCCGGCCGGGAACUCAAAGGAGACUGCCAGUGAUAAACUGGAGGAAGGUGGGGAUGACGUCAAGUCAUCAUGGCCCUUACGACCAGGGCUACACACGUGCUACAAUGGCGCAUACAAAGAGAAGCGACCUCGCGAGAGCAAGCGGACCUCAUAAAGUGCGUCGUAGUCCGGAUUGGAGUCUGCAACUCGACUCCAUGAAGUCGGAAUCGCUAGUAAUCGUGGAUCAGAAUGCCACGGUGAAUACGUUCCCGGGUCUUGUACACACCG